CUGGGGCUUCGGGGAAGCAGGAAGGACCCAGAGCCCGGGUCGGGUGCUCCUCAGAGAGACGCGGAGGAAAGGGGUGAGCAUGCAGCCUGUCUCCAGAUGCUCGUAAACAGCCGUGCCUACAGGGUGGCCACAGAGACCUUCUCGAAAACGUUGCCAAUGGCGCAGUGAUUGGCCUCUAUCUGCAAGGACCUCGAUGUCCUAUUUGGGAAAAUUGUUUAGUCAUGAGUGCAAUCUGUGUGAGAUGCAACAGCAAGCGAGGGUUGCGAGAAAUGAUCUGACUUGCAUUACAACUCCUAGGCCGGGAAGGCUCUGUUGGGUGACCGCUCCCUGUAUUUUUCCAUCAGCGGCAAAGUCGUUAGUGGCAUAAAGUGUCACUAACACGUGAAAGGAUGACCAGAGGAGAGAGACUCAUUCCACUUGACCAACCCAAACACCUGUGGAUCGGGUUAGGUGCUUCUUAUCCCUUGGUUCUGCAAGUAGGUUCUAGAAUCUCUCAAAGCAGAAUCGGGAGCAUCGCAGGGCUCCAGAAAAAUCUGCUGGCCCUACAGCGACCACAGAAAAUCCGUGACCUUCAGCGCAAGGGGCCUCCCAGCCCGUCUCCACCUCUUCUCCUUGGAACGCUCUCCAACACCCCCCGCGCAAGUCUAUGAAGACCAAGGAGAUCGCACGCCUACAAGAUGCAGACGCUUCUUGCUCUGGUCCCUGCUCUAGAAGAGAAGCCACAGACGUGAGUCACACACCCAGAGCCCUGUGUGUCUGCAGGGACCAGCUGGGCCAUCUGGUCUACCGGCCCCACAGCGCUGCGGUCACCCCCACCGCCGCUGUGCCAGCCCGCCCCGGCCAGCGCCACGGGCCCCUGGUGGGUUGAUGAGCCCACCUGCUUGUCUCCAGUGGCCACUGAGCCACCACCUCCAGCUGUGAGCCCCACGAGGACAGAGCCUCACUUACCCACUGUACCUUCCAAGACUACAACAUCUUUGGGCGUGUGGUAGGAAUUCAAUAACUACUUUGGGAUGAGCACAUGCAUAUUUACAGUGAUUACACUGGGGCAGGGGGACAAAGAAACUGAGAAAAUGAAAUUUGCUUUUCACUGAAUUCUCUGAA
rnacentral:lncRNA from 12 species